UACGGAGGGUGCAAGCGUUAUCCGGAUUUACUGGGUUUAAAGGGUGUGUAGGCGGGCUUUUAAGUCAGUGGUGAAAUCUCCGGGCUCAACCUGGAAACUGCCAUUGAUACUAUUAGUCUUGAAUUUUGUUGAGGCAGGCGGAAUAAGUCAUGUAGCGGUGAAAUGCAUAGAUAUGACUUAGAACACCAAUUGCGAAGGCAGCUUGCUAAACAAAUAUUGACGCUGAGCACGAAGCGUGGGGGAGUCAAACAGGGA
rnacentral:rRNA from 1 species